GAUGAAGAACGCAGCAAAAUGCGAUAAGUAGUGUGAAUUGCAGAAUUCAGUGAAUCAUCGAAUCUUUGAACGCACAUUGCGCCCGCCAGCAUUCUGGCGGGCAUGCCUGUUCGAACGUCAUUUCAACCCUCGACCUCCCCUUGGGGAGGUCGGCGUUGGGGACCGGCAGCACACCGCCGGCCCUGAAAUGGAGUGGCGGCCCGUCUGCGGCGACCUCUGCGUAGUAAUACAGCUCGCACCGGAACCCCGACGCGGCCACGCCGUAAAACACCCAACUUCUGAACGUUGACCUCGAAUCAGGUAGGACUACCCGCUGAACUUAAGCAUAUCAAUAAGCGGAGGA
rnacentral:misc_RNA from 1 species